rnacentral:rRNA from 1 species
UGAACCUGCGGAAGGAUCAUUAUAGUAGCCCCUGUUCUUGAGCAGGGUGAUACUCAACCCGUGUCUACCUUACCUUUGUUGCUUUGGCGGGCCGCCUUCGGGCGUCGGCUCCGGCUGACAGCGCCCGCCAGAGGACCCCCAACUUCUUUAUUUAGUGAUGUCUGAGUACUAUAUAAUAGUUAAAACUUUCAACAACGGAUCUCUUGGUUCUGGCAUCGAUGAAGAACGCAGCGAAAUGCGAUAAGUAAUGUGAAUUGCAGAAUUCAGUGAAUCAUCGAAUCUUUGAACGCACAUUGCGCCCCUUGGUAUUCCGAGGGGCAUGCCUGUUCGAGCGUCAUUAUGACCACUCAAGCCUUAGCUUGGUAUUGGGGCUCGCGGUCUCGCGGCCCCUAAAAUCAGUGGCAGUGCCGUCUGGCUCUAAGCGUAGUAAUUUUCUCGCUACAGAGUCUGGGUGGUAGCUUGCCAAAACCUCAACUUCUCACGGUUGACCUCGGAUCAGGUAGGGAUACCCGCUGAACUUAAGCAUAUCAAUAA